AGCGAACGCUGGCGGCAGGCUUAACACAUGCAAGUCGAACGCCCGGGCAACCGGGAGUGGCAGACGGGUGAGUAACACGUGGGAACGUACCCUUUGGUUCGGAAUAACUCAGGGAAACUUGAGCUAAUACCGGAUAAGCCCUUAUGGGGAAAGAUUUAUCGCCGAAGGAUCGGCCCGCGUCCGAUUAGCUAGUUGGUGAGGUAACGGCUCACCAAGGCGACGAUCGGUAGCUGGUCUGAGAGGAUGAUCAGCCACACUGGGACUGAGACACGGCCCAGACUCCUACGGGAGGCAGCAGUGGGGAAUAUUGGACAAUGGGGGCAACCCUGAUCCAGCCAUGCCGCGUGAGUGAUGAAGGCCCUAGGGUUGUAAAGCUCUUUCGGCGGGGACGAUAAUGACGGUACCCGCAGAAGAAGCCCCGGCUAACUUCGUGCCAGCCGCCGCAGUAAUAC
rnacentral:rRNA from 1 species